AAAAGACUUAGUCCUAACCUUACUGUUAACUCGUGCCAAAUGUAUACAUGCAAGUAUCCGCGCCCCAGUGUAAAUGCCCUUGAUUCCUUACUAAGACGACAGGAGCAGGUAUCAGGCACACCCACUUAGCCGUAGCCCAAGACGCCUAGCCCAGCCACACCCCCACGGGUACUCAGCAGUAAUUAACAUUAAGCAAUAAGUGUAAACUUGACUUAGUUAUGGCACCCUAGGGCUGGUAAAUCUUGUGCCAGCCACCGCGGUCAUACAAGAAGCCCAAGUUAACAGCCAUCCGGCGUAAAGAGCGGGUGCUUACUAUCUAAACAUACUAGGGUUAAACCGCGGCUAAGCUGUCAUAAGCCCAAGACGCGCGUAAGACCACCUCCAAGGCGACCCCAACACCCAUGAUCAACUAAACCCCGCGAAAGCCAGGGCACAAACUGGGAUUAGAUACCCCACUAUGCCUGGCCCUAAAUCUUAAUACUUCCCCCACCAAAGUAUUCGCCCGAGUACUACGAGCACAAACGCUUAAAACUCUAAGGACUUGGCGGUGCCCCACACCCACCUAGAGGAGCCUGUUCUAUAAUCGAUAACCCACGCUACACCCCACCACUCCUAGCCCGGUCAGCCUACAUACCGCCGUCGCCAGCUCACCUCCUCUGAGAGACCAGCAGUGAGCCCAAUAGCCCCCCUCCCUAAAAAGACAGGUCAAGGUAUAGCCCACGGAGUGGAAGAAAUGGGCUACAUUUUCUAGGAUAGAAUAUCACACGGAAGGGGGCGUGAAACAGCCCCUGGAAGGCGGAUUUAGCAGUAAAAUGGGACAAUAGAGCCCUAUUUAAGCCGGCCCUGAGGCACGUACAUACCGCCCGUCACCCUCCUCGCAGGCCAUAGCCCACCCAUAACUAAUAACCCAGUCAGCUGAAGAUGAGGUAAGUCGUAACAAGGUAAGUGUACCGGAAGGUGCACUUAGCAUACC
rnacentral:ncRNA from 1 species